GCCUUCGUGGUGCAGUGGUCAGCACGAUCGGCCGUAACUGAGAGGUCCGUGGUUCGAUUCCCGGCGAAGGCG
rnacentral:tRNA from 1 species